AUUGAACGCUGGCGGCAGGCCUCACACAUGCAAGUCGAACGAGUGGCGGACGGGUGAGUAAUGUCUGGGAAACUGCCCGAUGGAGGGGGAUAACUACUGGCAACGGUAGCUCAUACCGCCUACCAUCGUAUGUGCCCAGAUGGGAUUAGCUAGUCGGUGGGGUAACGGCUCACCUAGGCGACGAUCCCUAGCUGGUCUGAGAGGAUGACCAGCAACACAGGAACUGAGACACGUUCCAGACUCCUACGGGAGGCAGCAGUGGGGAAGAUGGCACAAUGGGCGAAAGCCUGAUGCAGACAUGCCGCGUGUAUGAAGAAGGCCGUCGGGUUGUAAAGUACUUUCAGCGAGGAGGCGUUACUCGCAGAAGAAGCAUCGGCUAACUACGUGCCAGCCGCCGCGGUAAUAC
rnacentral:rRNA from 1 species